UAGGGAAUCUUCCGCAAUGGACGAAAGUCUGACGGAGCAACGCCGCGUGAGUGAAGAAGGAUUUCGGUUCGUAAAACUCUGUUGUUAGGGAAGAAAAAAUGUAUAGUAACUAUAUACAAAAGAGACGGUACCUAACCAGAAAGCCACGGCUAACUACGUGCCAGCAGCCGCGGUAAUACGUAGGUGGCAAGCGUUGUCCGGAAUUAUUGGGCGUAAAGCGCGCGCAGGUGGUUUAGAAAGUCUGAUGUGAAAGCCCACGGCUCAACCGUGGAGGGUCAUUGGAAACUAAUAAACUUGAGUGCAGGAGAGAAAAGUGGAACUCCUAGUGUAGCGGUGAAAUGCGUAGAGAUUAGGAGGAACACCGGUGGCGAAAGCGGCUUUUUGGCCUGCAACUGACACUGAGGCGCGAAAGCGUGGGGAGCAAACAGG
rnacentral:rRNA from 1 species